AGCGGGCGGAGGAGUAUUUAAGACCGGGCGGAGUUGGAGGUGGCCAAGGGCAGAAUGAGCGGGAUUCAGGGCACCAGGACCUACCCAGGCGCGGGGGACACCUCUGACCUUAAGUACCCCUUGGCAACCAGGCUCAGGGAAGCUCUCACCGAGGCUCGGUUCCAUCAGCUCUUCAGGGGCGAAGAGCAGGAACCGGAGCUACCUGAAGAGCGCGGCUUUCCCCGGCUCUUCGGGCUGUGGAGGCUGCGGGCUCGCGCUUGUUCCGGGACGGGGGCGUGGCGCCUGCUGCUGGCUCGGCUGCCCGCGCUGCACUGGCUGCCCCAUUACCGCUGGCGGGCCUGGCUGCUCGGAGAUGCGGUGGCCGGAGUGACCGUGGGCAUCGUGCACGUGCCCCAGGGCAUGGCUUUUGCUCUCCUGGCCUCCUUGCCCCCGGUGUUUAGACUCUACACUUCUUUCUUCCCCGUCCUCAUCUACAGCUUGCUAGGUACUGGGAGACACCUGUCCACAGGAACUUUCGCCAUACUCAGCCUCAUGACAGGCUCGGCCGUCGAGCGGCUGGUGCCGGAACCCCUCGUGGGGAAUCUGAGCGGAAUCCAGAAGGAGCAGCUGGACGCUUAGCGGGUUGGGGUAGCCGCGGCCGUGGCCUUCGGGAGCGGGGCGUUGAUGCUGGGGAUGUUCGUGCUGCAGCUCGGCGUCUUGUCCACCUUUUUGUCCGAGCCUGUGGUCAAGGCGCUGACCAGCGGGGCCGCGCUGCACGUGCUCUUGUCCCAGCUGCCGAGCCUCUUGGGGUUGUCCCUCUCGCGCCAGAUCGGCUGCUUCUCUCUCUUCAAGACGCUGGCCUCCUUGCUGACUGCGCUGCCUUGGAGCAGUCCGGCCGAACUGACCAUCUCCGUGCUCAGCCUGGCGCUGCUCGUGCCGGUCAAGGAAUUGAACGUGAGAUUCCGAGACCGGCUGGCUACCCACGCCGAUCCCGGGGGAAGUCGUCUUGGUGCUUCUGGCCUCCGUGCUCUGCUUCACCUCUUCUGUGGACACAAGAUACCAAGUCCAGAUAGUGGGGCUGUUGCCUGGAGGAUUUCCCCAACCCCUCCUCCCCAACCUGGCUGAGCUGCCCAGGAUUCUGGCUGACUCGCUGCCCAUUGCACUGGUUACUUUUGCGGUGUCUGCCUCCCUGGCCUCCAUCUAUGCAGACAAGUAUAGCUACACUAUUGACUCCAACCAGGAGCUCCUGGCACAUGGUGCCUCCAACCUCAUCUCCUCCCUCUUCUCUUGCUUUUCCAACUCGGCUACACUGGCCACCACCAAUCUACUGGUGGAUGCUGGUGGGAAAACACAGGGUAACCCAACAGUGGCUUUUAAGGUGGAGGUGGGCUGCAAAACUGGGGAACUUGAACAACGGACAUCUACAAGGAGACUGCUGGCAGGCCUCUUCUCCUGCACAGUGGUCCUGUCGGUGCUGCUGUGGCUGGGGCCCUUCUUUUACUAUCUGCCCAAGGCUGUCCUGGCUUGCAUCAACAUCUCCAGCAUGCGCCAGGUGUUCUGCCAGAUGCAGGAACUUCCACAACUAUGGCACAUCAGCCGAGUGGACUUUCUCCUCCAGGUCCCGGGGCUCUGCAUCCUGAGCUAUCCAACACCACUGUACUUUGGGACCCGUGGGCAGUUUCGCCGCAACCUGGAGUGGCACCUGGGGCUCGGAGAAGGAGAAAAGGAGACUUCAAAGCCAGAUGGCCCAAUGGUUGCAGUUGCUGAGCCUGUCAGGGUGGUGGUCCUAGACUUCAGUGGUGUCACCUUUGCAGAUGCUGCUGGGGCCAGAGAAGUGGUGCAGCUGGCCAGCCGAUGUCGAGAUGCUAGGAUCCGCCUCCUCCUGGCUCAGUGUAAUGCCUUGGUGCAGGGGACACUGACCCGGGCAGGACUCCUGGACAGGGUGACCCCAGAUCAGCUGUUUGUGAGUGUGCAGGAUGCAGCUGCUUAUGCCCUGGGGAGCCUGGGGCUCACUGACCCAAAGAUUUGCACCGUGUGGGUCUGACCUCAUCAUGUGGAGUGCAGAGGGCCCUGAUGACAUGUGUGUGAUGAGGACCAUGACCCUUGAACCCCCUUACCUAACGUAACUAAUAAAAUGAAGCUGAGAGCUUUGGAAUCCAUAAA